rnacentral:tRNA from 1 species
GGGCGACUAGCUCAGCUGGUUAGAGCGCGACACUGAUAAUGUCGAGGUCGGCAGUUCAAGUCUGCCGUCGCCCA